UCAGGAUGAACGCUGGCGGCGUGCCUAACACAUGCAAGUCGAACGAAGCGCUUUUUUGGAAGCUUUUCGGAGUGAAAGAGAAAGUGACUGAGUGGCGGACGGGUGAGUAACGCGUGGGUAACCUACCCCACACAGGGGGACAACAGCUGGAAACGGCUGCUAAUACCGCAUAGGCGCACAGCUUCGCAUGAAGGAGUGUGGAAAGCAAUAGCGGUGUGGGAUGGGCCCGCGUCUGAUUAGCUGGUUGGUGAGGCAGAGGCUCACCAAGGCGACGAUCAGUAGCCGGCCUGAGAGGGCGGACGGCCACAUUGGGACUGAGACACGGCCCAGACUCCUACGGGAGGCAGCAGUGGGGGAUAUUGCACAAUGGGGGGAACCCUGAUGCAGCGACGCCGCGUGAGCGAAGAAGUAUUUCGGUAUGUAAAGCUCUAUCAGCAGGGAAGAAAAUGACGGUACCUGAGUAAGAAGCCCCGGCUAAAUACGUGCCAGCAGCCGCGGUAAUACGUAUGGG
rnacentral:rRNA from 1 species